UUCUUUGGAGUUCUGAGUUCAAGUUGGAGGCUGGUGAAGAAUCUGCUUACUGGACCUAAGACCCUGGACUUGGAAACUUUACCUCAUUAAUUUGGCUUUAGUUUCACUAAAAGGACCCUGCUAGAAAAUCAGAACCCUGUUUCCUGACAACAUUCUCGAAUGUAUCACCACUCGAAGAAAAAAAAAUCGGCUCACAAAUCCAAGAGGACGGUUCAUUUCAAGCACAUUUCUCCUGAGGUAUACUGGGGUAUAUUUUUUACUUAUUGAUCACACUACCUCUGUGGGACUGACUCUCUUACCCUGCGACCGGCUUCAUUGUUUUGAAGAUUCAUCAGUACCCGGCCCUGUUCCUCCGAGCCCUUGACAAAGUUUUUCUCUCGCUCUCGAGCAUCCACAAACUCCUUGGCAAAGCGGUAGCCAUACUCCACAUUGUCCCCACAGCCACCCCACAGCCAGUCCCGGGGUAAAUCCUUGGGCCGGGUAGUCCUGCUACAGCCACACGUGGAAAGCUCGCCUUCCCGACAGGCUCUGCUAAUGGCGUUGACCACUCCCGCUGCACUCACGGCGUAGGUGAAAGCCGUCUCUCGACUACCUAAAGAGAGAAGAAAAAUGAACUUGCUUCACUAAACAGUAGGUCUUGCAUCCCAGGACAUGGCACCUCCUUUCCCUCCCCUGCAUCAUGAGAGGAAAAAGCAUAAAGGUUAAGAACUCAAAGAAAAGUCAACUAGAACCAAUUCUUAAUUAAGCUCCAUAUGAAACUCGCAUUUGGGUGAAGCGAUCCAAGAGCCAGCCUGGAGAUGGUCACAAGAUACCAAAGAAGAGGCUAGUUUGCAAUGCUGUUGUUAAGAGGAGUAAGGCUGGGUCUUGCCAGAUACAAAGAGAGGCAUUUUCGUGGAUGAAGAGUUCUCAGGAGAUUUCAUAGGACUGAUCUGUAGGAAGAUGAAGGAAUAGGUAGUUCCAUGACUAGAGAAGUAGGUCUAAAGGAAUGGUAAUGGAUCAAGAAACAUCAGAUCAUCUUUUUUACAUGCACAGCCCUUCACUCAUAUACCCCACUACAGAUCCAUUUUUUAUUUGAAAAAAUUUAUUGAAUUGAUUAAUUGAGAAUAUUUUCCAUGGUUCCAUGAUUCAUGGUCUUUCCACGAACUGGGUUUUUUCUAUGUGUCACUGCAGAUCUAUUUUUUUAAUUAUUGCUACAAUCCAACAAAAUGGUGAGAGAGUCAGAGGGAAAGUGAACUAGAACAAAGGAAGACUACCUGAGGGCAAGCAGACUGAAAAGGGAAAACAGCUAGAAAGGUCUCUCAAAUCUGCUCUGGGAUUUAAGGGAGUUUAAUUGCACUCUCUAAAUUUCAGUGGCCUGAGGCCAAGUCCUGGUUUCUCUAACCUCCAAGCACAAGUUAUCCCCACUGCAAACUAGAACAUUUUUGGACUACACCCAUAGUAACUGUACUAUCCAGUAUCUCCUUAGAAUGGCCCCAGUGAAUAACUAGACCACUUUCCAUGACCAUUUCCCAGUACAAUGAGUCACUUUAAAAUUUCAUAAAUGAAAUUGUGAUGCAAUUCUUAGCCAUCCUCCUCUACUAGCAUAGGUCACAAGGGAUCAGGACCUACAUAUAAUCCCCACUGCUUUAUUCCAAAUUUCUUAUGUAUGACUGACUACCUAAUAAAAGAUGGGAAGAGGUA